GCAAGUCGAACGGUAACAGGCUAGCUUGCUAGCGCUGACGAGCGGCGGACGGGUGAGUAAUGCUUGGGAACAUGCCUUUAGGUGGGGGACAACAGUUGGAAACGACUGCUAAUACCGCAUAACGUCUACGGACCAAAGAGGGCUUCGGCUCUCGCCUAAAGAUUGGCCCAAGUGGGAUUAGCUAGUUGGUGAGGUAAUGGCUCACCAAGGCAACGAUCCCUAGCUGGUUUGAGAGGAUGAUC
rnacentral:rRNA from 1 species